AUGAAUUUCAAGGACGCUCUUUUUAGAGGUCCGACCAAAUCAUUUUCCUUCACCCUGUGCACAAACUAUUUUUUACACCUUUUUAAACACAUCAGUAUAAGAAUGCAAUAGUCUCUUGAAUGAGCAUAAACUAUUA
rnacentral:misc_RNA from 1 species